AAAAGAGAGCCCUCACCCACGCCCACAGGAUGGCCGGCUGAGAGGUGGCAGGGUUUCCCUCGGGAUUCUCUCCUUCGCACGUGUGGAUGAAACCUCUGAAUAUGAUGAAGUACCACUCCCGUGAUUAUGUUAUGUGACACGGCAAAAAGAAGAUUAUCUGGGCAGAUGAGCCUACUCUAACUGCAUGAGCCCUUUAAAAUUAAGCACAAUUUUCUCUGGUUGGUGGUAGAGAGUCAUUGCUGGUUUGAAGAUGGACGGGCCACAGAGAUGCAGGCAGCCAUAAGGAAGUAAGAAAGUUCUCCAGCUGAUAGCCAGCAAGGAAAUGGGGCCCUCAGUCCUACAACCACAAAUAAUGGAAUUCUGCCACCCACCUGAAUGAGCAUAGAAGGAUUCUUCCCAGAGUCCCCAAAUGAGAGCCCGGAUGGGCCACCACCUUGAUUUCAGUCUGUCACACCCUAAGCACAGAACCUAGUUGAGUUCACCAGGAAUUCUCACCAACAGAACGCAUAAUCAAGGCCUGUUUUUUCACGCUGGUGAAUUUCUGGUAAUUUGUUACACAGCAGUAGGAGAUAAAUACACAUUCCUCCUGUGCCCUCAGCAGUGUGCCCACAGGGCUAGAGGGUUCCAAAGAGGCUUACGGUGGAGUUGGAUGAACACAAAGCUGAUGAGAUCUGGCUCCAGGUUGGACCUGCACUUCAUCGUCACUGGGAGAGGAGCCUUAUGGGGACUGCAUUUCCCUGGGUCUCAUAUCCCAUCACAAGCCCCAGCCAGCUCCAGGCCACCCUGACCCAUUAGCCUCACUAAGUCCCCUCCUCAGACACUGCCCGCAUUUCCUACCACACUCAGGCAAGUGCCCCAACCAUUCGAAAAGUAAAAUGCAGAAUGGGAUUAAGCAUUGUGCUCUCGUAGGAACAGCCUUGAAGUUCAUACUGAGCCUUUUUAUAUUUGCUCAGUAUCUGCCUUUGGAACAGAUGCUGCCCCCUGCUCACCACAGUCCAUGUUUUCCCCUUCUCCUGGGCACACCUCUAGACUACAUUUCCCAGCCUCCCUUGCAGUCAGCUGUGACCACGUGACUGAGUUCUAGCCAAUAAAAUGAAAACAUAACCAAGGUGAGGGGAACCACUUUAGGCUCAGCCUGCAAAAACCUCUCACUGUCCCCCUAUGCUCUUUCCCCUAAGAUGGCCCUAGAAGCCAUGUGUUGAAGUUGGCAUAACUUCCUCCAUCUUGAGUCUCUGAAUGAGUAUUUGAAGAACAUGUUCACCCACCCAGGACUGUUACAUGAGCAAGAAAUAAACUUCUGUUGUGUUUGAGCCAUUACAUAUUUGGGGAUCACUUGCUAUAGUAGUUAGCCUACCCCUGUGGUUCUCAAAGCAUGGUUCCUGGACCAGCAGCAUGAGUGUCGCCUGGGGUCUUGUUAGAAAUGCAAAUUCCUGGGACCCAUCCCAUAUCUACUGUGGUAGACAGAAUAUUAGCCCCCAAAGAUGUCCAUGUCCUAAUCACCAAAACGUGUGAACAUGUCACCUUACAUGGAAAAAUGGCCUUUGCAGAUGUGAUGAAGUUACAGAUCUUGAGAUGGCGAGGUUACCUGGAUUACCCAGGUAGACCUGAUGUACUAACAAGGGUCUUUCUAAGAGGGAGGCAGGAGAAUCAGGUUGAGAGGAAAUGUGAUGAGAGAAGCAAGGCUGGAGUGAUGUGCUGUCAAGAUGAAGGAAGAAGGCACUGGCCAAGGAAUGCAGGCAGCCUGUGGAACCUGGAAAAGGCAAGGAAAUGGAUUCUUUGCUGAGGCUUCCAGAAGGAACAUGGCUCUGCUGUCACCUUGACUUUAACCCCGUAAGACUCACUUUUCAAACCUCCAGAACUGUAAGAUAAUACAUUUCCACGGUUUUAAAUGGC